AUGACUGCCCACUGGGUUCGCAAGGGCUCUGAGUUUUUUUGUGGGUUUGUUACCGCCACCUUUGGCGUCUUUGCGUUAGUCUUAGCCAUUAGUAGUACCUUCAACACCGGUUCCUCUUCCACAGCGUCCACAUGUAGCUCAGCUCCACCUCCUGCUCCUAGCGACGCGUUGCGUUCUCACAUGGCUAUCUUGAAGCGGUGCCUAGCGAGCGCCGAGACCUGCUCGUUGCUUCUCAUCUUCUUCGUCCGGGCUGUUGUGGAGCGUGCACACGCGGCCCACGAGCGGGUCGCCAAGGACGAGGAUGCGGCGUACAAAGCCGCAUGCGACGCACUGGCGGCGGCCAGCAAGCAGCUCGGCGAACUCGGCCUGAGGGUCGACGACUGCAGCCAGAAGGUGCGCCAACGGCUGGACGACGAUGAUCUCUGGGCUGCUUUGGCCACCGAGCAGCAGGAGGAGGAGAGGCUCAUGGCCGAGGUGGAGCGCGCCAGGCAGGACGUCGACAGGAAGAAGCCAAAGGAAGGUAUGGAGCGUAUCACCGGUUGGUGGGCAAAGGCGGUCCGCGUCAGUUUCUUUCUGUCCGUCCUCUUCUCCCAACUGGGUGGAGUGAUUGCGGGGUUUGCCUUAAACUACUGGUUGCAGAUACAGGAGAAGUGUAAGUUUGGUGGUUUUCUUGAGAUCAUUCCCUUGGCACUUGCUCUUGGUUUCUGGCUGCUGUUCCAUGGUUUCUUUGGCUGGAUGUCCAUAUCCCAAAACUGA
rnacentral:rRNA from 1 species